UACGUAGGUGGCAAGCGUUAUCCGGAUUUACUGGGCGUAAAGCGUGUGCAGGCGGGGGGACAAGUGGUGUAUGAAAUUUCCCAGCUUAACUGGGAAGGGUUAUGCCAGACUGUACUUCUGGAGUGCGAGAGAGGGGCGUGGAAUUCCUGGUGUAGCGGUGAAAUGCGCAGAUAUCAGGAGGAACACCGAUGGCGAAGGCAGGUCUCUGGGCCAUAACUGACGCUGAGAAGCGAAAGCAUGGGGAGCGAACAGG
rnacentral:rRNA from 1 species